UACGUAGGGUGCAAGCGUUGUCCGGAAUUAUUGGGCGUAAAGAGCUCGUAGGCGGUCUGUCGCGUCUGCUGUGAAAACUCAGGGCUUAACCCUGAGCUUGCAGUGGGUACGGGCAGACUAGAGUGCGGUAGGGGAGACUGGAAUUCCUGGUGUAGCGGUGAAAUGCGCAGAUAUCAGAAGGAACACCAGCGGCGAAGGCGGCGCUCUGGGCCGGAACUGACGCUGAGGAGCGAAAGCGUGGGUAGCAAACAGG
rnacentral:rRNA from 1 species